rnacentral:rRNA from 1 species
CCUACGGGUGGCUGCAGUGGGGAAUAUUGCACAAUGGGGGAAACCCUGAUGCAGCGACGCCGCGUGAGUGAAGAAGUAUUUCUGUACGUAAAGCUCUAUCAGCAGGGAAGAAAAACCGGCCUUAGGGCCGCCAGACGGUACCUGACUAAGAAGCCCCGGCUAACUACGUGCCAGCAGCCGCGGUAAUACGUAGGGGGCAAGCGUUAUCCGGAUUUACUGGGUGUAAAGGGAGCGUAGACGGCAGCGCAAGUCUGGAGUGAAAUGCCGGGGCCCAACCCCGGAACUGCUUUGGAAACUGUGGGGCUGGAGUGCAGGAGAGGUAGGCGGAAUGCCUAGUGUAGCGGUGAAAUGCGUAGAUAUUAGGAGGAACACCAGUGGCGAAGGCGGCUUACUGGACUGUAACUGACGUUGAGGCUCGAAAGCGUGGGGAGCAAACAGGAUUAGAUACCCUAGUAGUC